AUUGAACGCUGGCGGCAGGCCUAACACAUGCAAGUCGAGCGGAUGAAGGGAGCUUGCUCCUGGAUUCAGCGGCGGACGGGUGAGUAAUGCCUAGGAAUCUGCCUGGUAGUGGGGGAUAACGUCCGGAAACGGGCGCUAAUACCGCAUACGUCCUGAGGGAGCAAGUGGGGGAUCUUCGGACCUCACGCUAUCAGAUGAGCCUAGGUCGGAUUAGCUAGUUGGUGGGGUAAAGGCCUACCAAGGCGACGAUCCGUAACUGGUCUGAGAGGAUGAUCAGUCACACUGGAACUGAGACACGGUCCAGACGCCUACGGGAGGCAGCAGUGGGGAAUAUUGGACAAUGGGCGAAAGCCUGAUCCAGCCAUGCCGCGUGUGUGAAGAAGGUCUUCGGAUUGUAAAGCACUUUAAGUUGGGAGGAAGGGCAGUAAGUUAAUACCUUGCUGUUUUGACGUUACCAACAGAAUAAGCACCGGCUAACUUCGUG
rnacentral:rRNA from 1 species